AGCGGGAUAGGGCAGCCAGGAGUGCCCGUCGGGCUCAUAACCCGGAAUAAAGGUAAGAAAUUGUCUUUAUGGGUUUAGGUCGGAAGUUCAAAUCUUCCUCCCGCUA
rnacentral:tRNA from 1 species